CUUGCUCUCGGGUGACGAGUGGCGGACGGGUGAGUAAUGUCUGGGAAACUGCCUGAUGGAGGGGGAUAACUACUGGAAACGGUAGCUAAUACCGCAUAACGUCUUCGGACCAAAGUGGGGGACCUUCGGGCCUCACACCAUCGGAUGUGCCCAGAUGGGAUUAGCUAGUAGGUGGGGUAAUGGCUCACCUAGGCGACGAUCCCUAGCUGGUCUGAGAGGAUGACCAGCCACACUGGAACUGAGACACGGUCCAGACUCCUACGGGAGGCAGCAGUGGGGAAUAUUGCACAAUGGGCGCAAGCCUGAUGCAGCCAUGCCGCGUGUAUGAAGAAGGCCUUCGGGUUGUAAAGUACUUUCAGCGGGGAGGAAGGCGAUAAGGUUAAUAACCUUGUCGAUUGACGUUACCCGCAGAAGAAGCACCGGCUAACUCCGUGCCAGCAGCCGCGGUAAUACGGAGGGUGCAAGCGUUAAUCGGAAUUACUGGGCGUAAAGCGCACGCAGGCGGUCUGUCAAGUCAGAUGUGAAAUCCCCGGGCUUAACCUGGGAACUGCAUUUGAAACUGGCAGGCUAGAGUCUUGUAGAGGGGGGUAGAAUUCCAGGUGUAGCGGUGAAAUGCGUAGAGAUCUGGAGGAAUACCGGUGGCGAAGGCGGCCC
rnacentral:rRNA from 1 species